rnacentral:rRNA from 1 species
GACGAACGCUGGCGGCGUGCUUAACACAUGCAAGUCGAGCGAGAACCAGACCUUCGGGUCCGGGGACAGCGGCGAACGGGUGAGUAACACGUGGGCAACCUGCCCCAGAGACCGGGACAACACUUCGAAAGGGGUGCUAAUACCGGAUGAUGUGGCACCUGCUAAGUGGGUGUCACCAAAUGGUAGCUUCGGCCUCCGCUCUGGGAUGGGCCCGCGCCGGAUUAGCUUGUUGGUGAGGUAACGGCUCACCAAGGCGACGAUCCGUAGCUGGUCUGAGAGGACGAUCAGCCACACUGGGACUGAGACACGGCCCAGACUCCUACGGGAGGCAG